CCACCGAACCGGCAAAACUGCGCGAAAGCCAGUGACGCAAAGCUUCCGGGCUCUGGAUUUUUCUGUGCCAGCGGGGCUGCCCAG
rnacentral:ncRNA from 2 species